rnacentral:rRNA from 1 species
GACGAACGCUGGCGGUAUGCCUAACACAUGCAAGUCGAACGAGAAAGCUUUCUUCGGAGAGUGAUUAGAGUGGCGAACGGGUGAGUAACGCGUAGGUACGUGCCUCUUAGUUUGGGAUAAGCAUUGGAAACGAUGUCUAAUACCGGAUGUGAUCUUCGGAUUAAAGGCUUCGGCCGCUAAGAGAUCGGCCUGCGUUAGAUUAGCUAGUUGGUGAGGUAACUGCUCACCAAGGCGACGAUCCCUAGCUGGUCUUAGAGGAUGACCAGCCACACUGGAACUGAGACACGGUCCAG